rnacentral:lncRNA from 1 species
AUAUAUUCGUGGAAACAUACAAACCAGGAGUUUAAUAAGCCUGCCUCGUUACCCUUUUUUUAAAAAAAGAAUAAACAUUACUUUUCCCACCUACUAAAAUAUUAUGACAAAAAUACCCUUGAAAUUGGAUGUCGACUAAAUAAUAAAAUGCAAAUAUAUCAAGUCUGACGUACCAUAAAGUGCCUAAUUUUCUCAUAUAAAUAUUAAAAUUCCAAAUUUCCGUGUGAUAGUAAUCUAUACUUGUACUUCCAAUUAAGCAACAAAUUAUGUAAU